rnacentral:rRNA from 1 species
CCCUUAGAGUUUGAUCCUGGCUCAGGAUGAACGCUGGCGGCGUGCCUAACACAUGCAAGUCGAGCGAUUUACUUCGGUAAAGAGCGGCGGACGGGUGAGUAACGCGUGGGUAACCUGCCCUGUACACACGGAUAACAUACCGAAAGGUAUGCUAAUACGAGAUAAUAUGCUUUUAUCGCAUGGUAGAAGUAUCAAAGCUCCGGCGGUACAGGAUGGACCCGCGUCUGAUUAGCUAGUUGGUAAGGUAACGGCUUACCAAGGCGACGAUCAGUAGCCGACCUGAGAGGGUGAUCGGCCACAUUGGAACUGAGACACGGUCCAAACUCCUACGGGAGGCAGCAGUGGGGAAUAUUGCACAAUGGGCGAAAGCCUGAUGCAGCAACGCCGCGUGAGCGAUGAAGGCCUUCGGGUCGUAAAGCUCUGUCCUCAAGGAAGAUAAUGACGGUACUUGAGGAGGAAGCCCCGGCUAACUACGUGCCAGCAGCCGCGGUAAUACGUAGGGGGCUAGCGUUAUCCGGAAUUACUGGGCGUAAAGGGUGCGUAGGUGGUUUCUUAAGUCAGAGGUGAAAGGCUACGGCUCAACCGUAGUAAGCCUUUGAAACUGGGAAACUUGAGUGCAGGAGAGGAGAGUGGAAUUCCUAGUGUAGCGGUGAAAUGCGUAGAUAUUAGGAGGAACACCAGUUGCGAAGGCGGCUCUCUGGACUGUAACUGACACUGAGGCACGAAAGCGUGGGGAGCAAACAGGAUUAGAUACCCUGGUAGUCCACGCCGUAAACGAUGAGUACUAGCUGUCGGAGGUUACCCCCUUCGGUGGCGCAGCUAACGCAUUAAGUACUCCGCCUGGGAAGUACGCUCGCAAGAGUGAA